rnacentral:sRNA from 1 species
GACUGGCCCAGGGAUUGUGGUUGAAAAAUGUAUUAAUAUACAUGUCAGCAAAGUUGUUAUACAACCCCCAUUGCUAAAUUUGACUGGUUUAUA